rnacentral:tRNA from 1 species
UGAUCAUUAGCUCAGUUGGCAGAGCGCUGCUCUUACAAGGCAGAUGUCCCCAGUUCGAGUCUGGGAUGAUCAACCA